CGUCACGCAGACAACAUUGAAAAUGGAGUCGGCUUCAAGAGUUAAAUGCAGUUGUAUAAUGAUGUUUUUCUGUAAUAACUCCAAUGAUUAACUACUGUUAAUUUAAUGAAAAACGUGAAGUGAAUAUAAAAGAUAGAUGCUCAUGGCCCAGAAGGACGUGUAGCCCACAUUGUGUCCAGCAGAAGUGAACAAAAACCCAACAUGCAGGAAUUGUUUUCUUGCCCGGCAGCAGAAUUUCUGCCUGCGUUUUAUCCUUUGAGAGAGAGAUCUCACCCUGCAGCUUCUGGUGAUGUUGACCCUCUACCUUCAGACCGGCCCAUACGGUGUGGAUGAUUUAAAGCAAGCUCUUUUUCCAGCCGUGACUUCACAGGACACUACAGCAACAUUAAUCUGGAUUGAACCUUAGAUCCUGAAUGUCUCUAUGUGUGGGUGAUAGCUGAGUAGUUUUGGUUAAAUAGUUUUUCGUUUUUUCAUUUCUGGACUACUAGCAUCCAUUGGUUGGACCGGUUGGGAUGGUCAUAUUAAGAGAGCAUUUUGUGGGUUGCUCUUCAUGUGUUUGUAAAUCUGUAUGCAAG